UACGUAGGGUCCGAGCGUUGUCCGGAAUUACUGGGCGUAAAGAGCUCGUAGGUGGUUUGUCGCGUUGUUCGUGAAAACUCACAGCUUAACUGUGGGCGUGCGGGCGAUACGGGCAGACUAGAGUACUGCAGGGGAGACUGGAAUUCCUGGUGUAGCGGUGGAAUGCGCAGAUAUCAGGAGGAACACCGGUGGCGAAGGCGGGUCUCUGGGCAAUUCCUGACGCUGAGGCGCGAAAGCGUGGGGAGCAAACGGG
rnacentral:rRNA from 1 species